GAACGGGUGAGUAACACGUGGGUGAUCUGCCUUGCACUUCGGGAUAAGCCUGGGAAACUGGGUCUAAUACCGGAUAUGACCCCGGAAUGCAUGUUCUGGGGUGGAAAGAUUUAUCGGUGCGAGAUGGGCCCGCGGCCUAUCAGCUUGUUGGUGAGGUAACGGCUCACCAAGGCGACGACGGGUAGCCGACCUGAGAGGGUGACCGGCCACACUGGGACUGAGACACGGCCCAGACUCCUACGGGAGGCAGCAGUGGGGAAUAUUGCACAAUGGGCGCAAGCCUGAUGCAGCGACGCCGCGUGCGGGAUGACGGCCUUCGGGUUGUAAACCGCUUUUGACAGGGACGAAGCGCAAGUGACUGUACCUGUAGAAUAAGGACCGGCCAACUACGUGCCAGCAGCCGCGGUAAUACGUAGGGUCCGAGCGUUGUCCGGAAUUACUGGGCGUAAAGAGCUUGUAGGCGGUUCGUCGCGUCGUUUGUGAAAACUUGGGGCUCAACCUUAAGCUUGCAGGCGAUACGGGCGGACUAGAGUACUUCAGGGGAGACUGGAAUUCCUGGUGUAGCGGUGAAAUGCGCAGAUAUCAGGAGGAACACCGGUGGCGAAGGCGGGUCUCUGGGAAGUAACUGACGCUGAGAAGCGAAAGCAUGGGUAGCAAACAGGAUUAGAUACCCUGGUAGUCCAUGCCGUAAACGGUGGGUACUAGGUGUGGGGCUCCUUCCACGGACUCCGUGCCGUAGCUAACGCAUUAAGUACCCCGCCUGGGGAGUACGGCCGCAAGGCUAAAACUCAAAGAAAUUGACGGGGGCCCGCACAAGCGGCGGAGCAUGUGGAUUAAUUCGAUGCAACGCGAAGAACCUUACCUGGGUUUGACAUACACCGGAAACCUGCAGAGAUGUAGGCCCCCUUGUGGUCGGUGUACAGGUGGUGCAUGGCUGUCGUCAGCUCGUGUCGUGAGAUGUUGGGUUAAGUCCCGCAACGAGCGCAACCCUUAUCUUAUGUUGCCAGCGCGUAAUGGCGGGGACUCGUGAGAGACUGCCGGGGUCAACUCGGAGGAAGGUGGGGACGACGUCAAGUCAUCAUGCCCCUUAUGUCCAGGGCUUCACACAUGCUACAAUGGCCGGUACAGAGGGCUGCGAUACCGCGAGGUGGAGCGAAUCCCUUAAAGCCGGUCUCAGUUCGGAUCGGGGUCUGCAACUCGACCCCGUGAAGUUGGAGUCGCUAGUAAUCGCAGAUCAGCAACGCUGCGGUGAAUACGUUCCCGGGCCUUGUACACACCGCCCGUCACGUCAUGAAAGUCGGUAACACCCG
rnacentral:rRNA from 1 species